rnacentral:rRNA from 1 species
CCUACGGGAGGCAGCAGUGGGGAAUACUGGGCAAUGGGCGCAAGCCUGACCCAGCCACGCCGCGUGAAGGUAGAAGGCUUUAGGGUUGUAAACUUCUUUUCUCAGGGACGAAGAAAGUGACGGUACCUGAGGAAUAAGCCACGGCUAACUACGUGCCAGCAGCAGCGGUAAUACGUAGGUGGCAAGCGUUAUUCGGAUUUAAUGGGUGUAAAGGGCGUGUAGGCGGGACUGCAUGUCAGAUGUGAAAACCACGGGCUCAACCUGUGGCCUGCAUUUGAAACUGGCAGACUUGAGUUGGCGAGAAGUACGCGGAAUGCGCGGUGUAGCGGUGAAAUGCAUAGAUAUCGCGCAGAACUCCGAUUGCGAAGGCAGCGUACCGGCGCCAGACUGACGCUGAGGCACGAAAGCGUGGGGAUCGAACAGGAUUAGAUACCCUAGUAGUC